rnacentral:tRNA from 2 species
GGAGGGAUGGCAGAGUGGUCGAAUGCGCACGCUUGGAAAGCGUGUAUACGAGCAAUCGUAUCGGGGGUUCGAAUCCCCCUCCUUCCGCCA